rnacentral:snRNA from 1 species
CUCCCUUUGGUGGGACAUUUGCUAAAACUGGAUCUAGACAGAGGAGGCUUGCAUGACUCCUGCCCAAGGACAGCACUCAAUUUUGUAAAGGGUUCCGCAUUAUG